CUGGGUACCAGCGGCUCUGCUGCCCUCGGCGCGGACAGCGUCUGGACGCGGGGCUCCUGGGGCUCGUCCAGGGCCGCGCCGCCCUGCGCCUCCCCGCCGGGACCUCCUGCGCCCGCCCCGCAGCCCCGGGGCAGCCCGCGCUGCCCCUGCGUGCCUUCCGCGGGGAAGGCGUGGGCGUCCGCCGCGGACAGCCCGCUGCGGGUCGCGGCCACCGCGCGGUGCCUCGGCCUGGCCCUGCUGCAGGAGGCCUAGUUGCGUCACCGUGGCCUGUCCUCCGGCCUCCGUCUGCUCGGCGUGAUUCUCGGGCCCCGCCAGAGGAGCUCCCGAAAUAUCUUGUUCGUUAUUUAAACAAACAGUUGCGUGCUUGCUGUAUGGGAAGCGGAGGAGUAAGAGUGGAAAUGGGCGUGAACUUUGGAGUCAGGUCUGCCGUUUGCCGUCGGUGUCACAUUCACAUUGUCCAGAUGUGAACCGAGAUUUGGCCUUUUCACCCAGAGAAAAAGGAAAGGCUCAUGGGCACACAGUGCUGGGAUCGUGGGCACACAGUAGGUAUUUGGUAAAUACCUGUGGAAAGAAGAAAAAAUCUUGAGGUAUUGUUAUUUCUGCUGGAAUGAGACCCAUUGCUUAAUACACAAAGGCUUCCUUAGCUAGCUGUUCUAGCUUUAUACGGUAAUGGUGUAAUGUGAGCAUCUUUCUUGUUCAUGGAUUUAAAGAUUUGAAGCUGUAUUUUAGUCUGAGAUUGGUAUUGUCUGUGACCAACCGAUUAGAGUUUUCAAAUAUGUGAACAAGAGGACCUGAGCUUCGGGCAUCUGUAGUGACCUCUUGAGAAACAGCAGUUUAUUUUGCUCUAACAUCUGUUAGAAUUGGACCAUAAUGGGUCUAGCUGUCCGAAUUAAGUUUUCUAGAGAACACUGGAUGAUUGUUUGGUUAUAGGGUAAAGAGUUCAAAAUAUUAAGUUUGUGGCAACAUUAAAUAUUUGGGAAAGACCUGUGACUGAUGUGCAUUAAUGUGGGAAUAGUAAACUGGUUUUAAAUAGAUAUUCUUGGUGUCCUUGAUCAGCUGUUCCGUGUUAGUUCUCUGAAGAUGACUUAGGGCCAUAGAGUGGAUUAUAUAAACUCACAGGUUUAUAUUACUCAUCCAUAUAGACUGUAACUUACACACACACCUAAGGACCUGUCGUUGCUGCUUCUGUACCCUCCCGGAUGCCUCGAAGCCACCUAUUUCACUGUCUUUAUCAAACUUAAUGGGAGAAACUCUCACAUAAUCUAUCCUCCAUUACCCUUGUACCCCAUCAUCACGACAUACACAGUGAAGCUCUUUCGCCCAAAAAAGGGUAUAUUAAUCCAGUUGUGAAUGGCAGAAACCCAGUAUAAACUUAAGCAAAAAAGAGUCCCCCAACCUCCUGUGAUCAUUUAACUAGGAAGUCCAAAGAUGAGCUUCAGGUAUGGCUGGAUCAUAAGGCUCAAAGAAUGUCAUGAAGACCCUCUUGGCCCUGCCUUUCUCAUUUAUUGACCUCAUUUUCUCCUGCUGCCUUCUGUAGACAUGCUGAAAAAGCUGAGCACUGGCAGCCCCAAGCGGGUGACUUUACAGUUCUCUUCUGCAUUGUAAACUAAUCUCAGUGGCCAAGGAGACACGGAUGCCAUGGUUGGUCAGGUCUGUGUCACAGGCCCACUCCUGGGAUGAAGGAGUAACCUGCUCCUGCAUAACCACAUGGGAUGACUACUGUGUGCAUGUGCGCGCAUGCUCAUAUCCCACCUCUUUGAGGUCCUUCCAAAGCCUUCCGACUGGAACGAAUCCCCCUGGUUUUGUGUGUCCGUCGAGUUGUUGCUGUGUUGUGGCACUGACACUGACCCUGAGCCUCCUAACCCCUCCACACCUGUGUGGCGGUUGCAUCCGCCCUUCCCCACAGCUUCAUCCGACUGACUGCCUUCUGGACUCAGGUUAUGCUUCUCCUCCCAGAAGCCGUCCUUGACCUCCAUCAGUGAGUUAGGCCCCCUUCUCUCCUGCUCAUGGGUAAACACCUGAUUUGGUCACUCCCAUCCUUAGUUGGCAUUAUUUCUCUUCUUAGCACUUAUAACCAGUUGAUGUAUAUUGAUUUGUUUAUUGCCUAUCUCUCCUUGUUAGAACAUCAACUUCAUGAAAAUAACGAGGAAAA